UAAAUCGUUUCUCCAACCUUUCCAACCCUUAUAAACAAAAAACAAAAAGAAUAAUUAGAAUUUAGGUCCCCCCCUACUCCCAACACUACAAAUACCAAAGUCACAUGGGCCGGGGGAGUAACUAGCGCCCUGGCACACAAGUGCAAAUAGCUCUGGUUAUGAAGUUUUUCAAGCAGAAACACUGCACAGCCAGAUUCCUUCCUUGGCCACUUCUAAAAAGGAGGUGGCCAAUGUCCAUUGCCACAUCUAAAAGCAGAAGUGGCCAUCGACAUAGGAGUAACCAUGUAAAGGUAAAAGAUUAUUCGGUGUAGAAACCUUGUCAAUAGCACAGUAC